rnacentral:rRNA from 1 species
UACCAUGCAAGUCGAACGAUGAAGCCCUUCGGGGUGGAUUAGUGGCGAACGGGUGAGUAACACGUGGGCAAUCUGCCCUGCACUCUGGGACAAGCCCUGGAAACGGGGUCUAAUACCGGAUAUGACCGUCCAUCGCAUGGUGGAUGGUGUAAAGCUCCGGCGGUGCAGGAUGAGCCCGCGGCCUAUCAGCUAGUUGGUGAGGUAGUGGCUCACCAAGGCGACGACGGGUAGCCGGCCUGAGAGGGCGACCGGCCACACUGGGACUGAGACACGGCCCAGACUCCUACGGGAGGCAGCAGUGGGGAAUAUUGCACAAUGGGCGAAAGCCUGAUGCAGCGACGCCGCGUGAGGGAUGACGGCCUUCGGGUUGUAAACCUCUUUCAGCAGGGAAGAAGCGAAAGUGACGGUACCUGCAGAAGAAGCGCCGGCUAACUACGUGCCAGCAGCCGCGGUAAUACGUAGGGCGCAAGCGUUGUCCGGAAUUAUUGGGCGUAAAGAGCUCGUAGGCGGCUUGUCACGUCGGUUGUGAAAGCCCGGGGCUUAACCCCGGGUCUGCAGUCGAUACGGGCAGGCUAGAGUUCGGUAGGGGAGAUCGGAAUUCCUGGUGUAGCGGUGAAAUGCGCAGAUAUCAGGAGGAACACCGGUGGCGAAGGCGGAUCUCUGGGCCGAUACUGACGCUGAGGAGCGAAAGCGUGGGGAGCGAACAGGAUU